rnacentral:rRNA from 1 species
GCCCAGCCGUAAAUAUUAACUUACACCAAAAAACGCCAGGGGACUACGAGCAAAGCUUAAAACCCAAAGGACUUGACGGUGUCCUAUCCAACUAGAGGAGCCUGUCCUAUAAUCGAUAAUCCCCGCUAUACCUCACCAUUUCUUGCUUAUCAGCCUGUAUACCGCCGUCGAAAGCUGACCGUAUGAACGUCCAAAGUCAGCUAAAUGGCCACCCGCCAAUACGUCAGGUCAAGGUGCAGCUUAUGAAAUGGGAAGAGAUGGGCUACAAUUUCUAAUAUAGAACAUACGGAUUGUUGGGUGAAACCCUAACAUGAAGGAGGAUUUAGUAGUAAAAAGAAAAUAGAGUGUUCUUUUGAAUUAGGCCCUGGGACGCGUACACACCGCCCGUCACCCCCCUCGAUAGCAUCUCUUAACAGUACAUAACACAAUAUUCGCGCCUUAGAGGGGGCAAGUCGUAACAUGGUAAGUGUACUGGAAAGUGCACUUGGUUAACAUCAAGAAGUAGCUUAAGUAAAGCCAUCCGCUUACACCGGUAAUAUGUCUGUUUAAAUCAGACCAUCUUGAGCCAUAAAUCUAGCCCACAUCCCCAGAAAUAUCAACCCAAAUUUAUCAAAAUUUAAUAAAACAUUUUUAUGUUAAAGUAGAGGAGAUCAAAAAAUCUCUAGGCGCUUAAGACAAGGUACCGAAAGGGAAAGAUGAAAUAGAAAUGAAACAACCCCCAAGCCCAUAAUAGCAGAGAUUCACCCUCG